AAUUUCACACAAUAAAAUUUAUAUAUUGCUAGUGUGGUCCAUCCAACACAUUUGUUUCAUUCUCUAUCUAUAUGGCCUUUGCCCUUAACUCUCCUCUCUUCAUACAAAAAGAAUCACUAUUUUCUCAAUUCUCCUCUCUUUUUCACUUGUUCAAUUUCCUUCUUCCUUAAGAAUUUUUGUGAAUUGACAAAUUUUAAGCUGCUGUUGACGACAAAGUCCAAGUCAUGCUUUUCCACAGCUUUCUUGAACUUCUUGCUGCUGAAUUUUUCAUCUCUAAAUUGGCAAAUUUUGAGAUGAGAUAUGAAGCUAUGAAAGUCCAAGAAAGCUGUGGGAAAAGAUGACAAGCUUUGGACUUGUUUUUUUCUUUGUUUGGUUCCAUAUGGAGUAUACUUGAAGAUAAUCAACCUAAUUUUCAUGCCGAAGACCUGUCAUCGGAAGCAAAGUUUAUCUAUUUUUGAGGAUAUAAGUGAGUUGCAAAAAUGCUGGCACCAAAAAGUUUCUUGAAUAAUUGUUGGACUUUGUAUUGUACAACACAAUUAUUAUGUGCAUUAAAUUAUAGUACCGUGCAGAGAAACACCAAAGCUAGCUAGCUAAUAGAGGAUCCCAAACUUUUUAGACUAUAUAAUUAAUUAUCCAACUAUUAUUGAUUGAGAGUCUAUCGGAAACAACUUCUCUACCAAAAGUAGAGGUGAAGUUUGUGUACGUUCUAUCUUCCCUACACCUUACUUAUGGAAUUACAUUGAGCUGCUGCUGUUGUAUUGCUUGAGCGUUCCUUUCCUAAUGUAUUUAUUAUAUCUCAAUCAGAUUCAGAUUCAGUAUAAUUUCAUAAAUAAAUUUGAUGAGAAUAAAGUACUAGGCAAAUCUUUUCCAUAUCUCAUAAAUAAAAAAAUUAUUUUUAUAGACCUUCGACUCGAAUAAUUCAUCUCAAAGAAUUUGAAAAAAGAACGAAAAUGGAUACAACGAAAGCCAAUUGAUAUUCUCCUUCAUUACACGUGGCUUUGUCACCACUAGCUAGUAGAUUGUUAUGUUGGCUAUUUGUAGAGAAGAAUUUUGUGUUUUUCUUGAUAAAUACUCCCUCCGUUUCAUAAUAAAUAAAUUAUUAAAUUUUGACACAUAGAUUA